UUAUAGGCGAGGGUUGUAGCUGGCCUCUCGGGGCAUGUGCACGCCCGAGCCCUUAAUCCCACACACACCUGUGAACCUAUUGUAAGGGCCCGUAAAAAAGGCCUUUACGUCUUUAUCACCUACCCGAAGUCUCAUAGAAUGUAAAACAUAUGUCCUCGCCUUAAAAAAGCGUUGAUAAAAUUUAUACAACUUUCAACAACGGAUCUCUUGGCUCUCGCAUCGAUGAAGAACGCAGCGAAAUGCGAUAAGUAAUGUGAAUUGCAGAUUUUCAGUGAAUCAUCGAAUCUUUGAACGCACCUUGCGCUCCUUGGUAUUCCGAGGAGCAUGCCUGUUUGAGUGUCAUUAAAUUCUCAAACUCUGAUUGAUUUGUUUCAAUCGAGCUUUGGAUUUGGAGCGUGCCGGCGUCAGUCGGCUCCUCUUGAAUGCAUCAGCGGAAUCCCAUUCAUUUCGGACGUCAGUGUGAUAAUCAUGUUGCGCUGUCUUUGCGAUCUUGAAAGCCCGCUCACAAUGGUCUUCGGACAAACCUCACUAUCAUAUUUGACCUCAAAUCAGGUAGG
rnacentral:rRNA from 1 species